rnacentral:rRNA from 1 species
UACGUAGGGUGCAAGCGUUGUCCGGAAUUAUUGGGCGUAAAGAGCUCGUAGGCGGUUUGUCGCGUCGAAUGUGAAAACCCGGGGCUCAACCCCGGGCCUGCAUUCGAUACGGGCAGACUAGAGUUCGGUAGGGGAGUCUGGAAUUCCUGGUGUAGCGGUGAAAUGCGCAGAUAUCAGGAGGAACACCAGUGGCGAAGGCGGCGAUCUGGGAAGAUACUGACGCUGAGGUGCGAAAGCGUGGGGAGCAAACAGG